AUUGAACGCUGGCGGCAUGCCUUACACAUGCAAGUCGAACGGCAGCACGGGAGCAAUCCUGGUGGCGAGUGGCGAACGGGUGAGUAAAGUAUCGGAACGUGCCCAGUCGUGGGGGAUAACGUAGCGAAAGUUACGCUAAUACCGCAUACGAUCUAUGGAUGAAAGCGGGGGAUCGCAAGACCUCGCGCGAUUGGAGCGGCCGAUAUUCGAGUAGGUAGUUGGGGGGGUAAAGGUACGACCAAGCCGACGAUCUGUAGCUGGUCUGAUAGGACGACCAGCCGAACUGGGACUGAGACACGGCCACGACUCCUGCGGGAGGCAGCAGUGGGGAAUUUUGGACAAUGGGCGAAAGCCUGAUCCAGCCAUGCCGCGUGCAGGAUGAAGGCCUUCGGGUUGUAAACUGCUUUUGUAUGGAACGAAAAGGUUUGGCCUAAAAAGCUGAGCUCAUGACGGUACCGUAAGAAUAAGCACCGGCUAACUACGUGCCAGCCGCCGCCGUAA
rnacentral:rRNA from 1 species